rnacentral:rRNA from 1 species
AGCGAACGUUUGCGGCGGGCUUAACACAUGCAAGUCGAACGAGAAUCCCUUCGGGGAGGAAAGUGGCGCACGGGUGCGUAACACGUGGAUAACCAACCCAUUGGUUUGGGACAACACCGGGAAACUGGUGCUAAUACCAGAUGUGUCGCAGCUGUCUUCAGGCGGUUGCGAGAAAGGCCCGCAAGGGUCGCCAACGGACGGGUCCGCGUCCCAUCAGCUAGUUGGUGAGGUAAUGGCUCACCAAGGCAAAGACGGGUAGCUGGUCUGAGAGGAUGAUCAGCCACACUGGAACUGAGACACGGUCCAGACUCCUACGGGAGGCAGCAGUGGGGAAUAUUGCACAAUGGAGGAAACUACUGAUGCAGCAACGCCGCGUGGAGGAUGACGCAUUUCGGUGUGUAAACUCCUUUUAUAUGGGAAGAUAAUGACGGUACCAUAUGAAUAAGCACCGGCUAACUCCGUGCCAGCAGCCGCGGUAAUG